AGGGGAGAGCAAGGUCAGAAGGAAAGGGUCAGAAACUUCCGGGGAGGAAAGAAUCUGAGCACGUGGAAUGUGACCUGGAAGAAAGUCUUAGUCAUCAGGGUUAAGAUUAGUGUCAGAGUUCACCCCAGUUCCAGAGGAGGCUGGCCUGACCAUCAGCUGGGCUACGUGGAGGCCUGGUCCUCUUUCACAGCAAGUGACCUUGGGCCCAACUCUGAAUUCAGCCACGCGAACACUGCCUGUGAAGCACUGGCAGUGAGUGUACAAAGGCUGAAAUGGAGACCCUUCUUGAGGGGUUACAGAAAGCAAAGCCAAACAGAACAUAAAGACCAAACUUGGAGAACUUUGACCACUAGUCCAGAGCGUUUGCACUUCAUUCUUUGUGUCAUGCUGCUACUGCUGCUGCUAAAUCACUUCAGUCAUGUCCGACUCUGUGCGACACCAUGGACUGCAGCCUUCCAGGCUCCUCCAUCCAUGGGAUUUUCCAGGCAAGAACAUUGGAGUGGGGUGCCACUGCCUUCUCCGAUGUUUAGAGGGAAGUAUGAAAAGUAACUUUAAGAGCAAUAAUCUUUAUCCAUAGCUUGUGACUCUAUUAGCUCAUCUAAAGAAAGAAUGGCUCAUUAGAAAGGGGGUUAUUUGGUAAUAAAAUAAAUAAAAUGGUGACCCA
rnacentral:lncRNA from 1 species